AUUGAACGCUGGCGGCAGGCUUAACACAUGCAAGUCGAGCGGAGAUGAGGUGCUUGCACUUUAUCUUAGCGGCGGACGGGUGAGUAAUGCUUAGGAAUCUGCCUAUUAGUGGGGGACAACAUUCCGAAAGGAAUGCUAAUACCGCAUACGCCCUACGGGGGAAAGCAGGGGAUCUUCGGACCUUGCGCUAAUAGAUGAGCCUAAGUCGGAUUAGCUAGUUGGUGGGGUAAAGGCCUACCAAGGCGACGAUCUGUAGCGGGUCUGAGAGGAUGAUCCGCCACACUGGGACUGAGACACGGCCCAGACUCCUACGGGAGGCAGCAGUGGGGAAUAUUGGACAAUGGGCGGAAGCCUGAUCCAGCCACGCCGCGUGUGUGAAGAAGGCCUUUUGGUUGUAAAGCACUUUAAGCGAGGAGGAGGCUACCUGGAUUAAUACUCUAGGAUAGUGGACGUUACUCGCAGAAUAAGCACCGGCUAACUCUGUGCCAGCCGCCGCCGUAAAAC
rnacentral:rRNA from 1 species